rnacentral:rRNA from 1 species
AUGGCUGGAUCAGGCUUUCGCCCAUUGUCCAAUAUUCCCCACUGCUGCCUCCCGUAGGAGUCUGGACCGUGUCUCAGUUCCAGUGUGACUGAUCAUCCUCUCAGACCAGUUACGGAUCGUCGCCUUGGUAGGCCUUUACCCCACCAACUAGCUAAUCCGACCUAGGCUCAUCUGAUAGCGUGAGGUCCGAAGAUCCCCCACUUUCUCCCUCAGGACGUAUGCGGUAUUAGCGCCCGUUUCCGGACGUUAUCCCCCACUACCAGGCAGAUUCCUAGGCAUUACUCACCCGUCCGCCGCUGAAUCCAGGAGCAAGCUCCCUUCAUCCGCUCGACUUGCAUGUGUUAGGCCUGCCGCCAGCGUUCAAUCUGAGCCAGGAUCAAACCCUG